CCUGACCCUAGAGGCAUUACAGAUGUGACUGCUGUGUCACAUGUGUGUCAUUAGGUGGCAGAGAGAAGACAGGCUCUACAUCCAGUGCUCUGACCUUUGAGCCACUGGGCGACUGAUAAGUCUAACACU
ensembl:snoRNA